rnacentral:rRNA from 1 species
GAUGAACGCUGGCGGCGUGCCUAAUACAUGCAAGUCGAGCGAACAGAUAAGGAGCUUGCUCCUUUGACGUUAGCGGCGGACGGGUGAGUAACGCGUGGGUAACCUACCUAUAAGACUGGAAUAACUCCGGGAAACCGGGGCUAAUGCCGGAUAACAUUUAGAACCGCAUGGUUCUAAAGUGAAAGAUGGUUUUGCUAUCACUUAUAGAUGGACCCGCGCCGUAUUAGCUAGUUGGUAAGGUAACGGCUUACCAAGGCAACGAUACGUAGCCGACCUGAGAGGGUGAUCGGCCACACUGGAACUGAGACACGGUCCAGACUCCUACGGGAGGCAGCAGUAGGGAAUCUUCCGCAAUGGGCGAAAGCCUGACGGAGCAACGCCGCGUGAGUGAUGAAGGUCUUCGGAUCGUAAAACUCUGUUAUUAGGGAAGAACAAAUGUGUAAGUAACUAUGCACGUCUUGACGGUACCUAAUCAGAAAGCCACGGCUAACUACGUGCCAGCCGCCGCGGUAACAC